rnacentral:rRNA from 1 species
UACGAAGGGAGCUAGCGUUGUUCGGAAUCACUGGGCGUAAAGCGCACGUAGGCGGAUGUGUCAGUCAGGGGUGAAAUCCCGGAGCUCAACUUCGGAACUGCCUUUGAUACAGCACGUCUUGAGUCCGAUAGAGGUGGGUGGAAUUCCUAGUGUAGAGGUGAAAUUCGUAGAUAUUAGGAAGAACACCGGUGGCGAAGGCGGCUCACUGGCCCGGUACUGACGCUGAGGUGCGAAAGCGUGGGGAGCAAACAGG